rnacentral:rRNA from 1 species
UACAGAGGGUGCGAGCGUUGUCCGGAAUCACUGGGCGUAAAGGGCGCGUAGGCGGCCUGGUAAGUAGGGGGUGAAAUCUCAUGGCUCAACUGUGAGGCUGCCUUCUAGACUGCCGGGCUUGAGCAUGGUAGAGGCUGGUGGAAUUCCCGGUGUAGCGGUGGAAUGCGUAGAGUUCGGGAAGAACAUCCGUGGCGAAGGCGGCCAGCUGGGCCAUCUGCUGACGAUGAGGCGCGAAAGAGUGGGGAGCAAACAGG